rnacentral:tRNA from 1 species
GGUGGCUCAGUGGUAGAGUGCUUGCCUUGCAUGCAUGAGGCCCUGGGUUCGAUUCCCAGUACCA